rnacentral:lncRNA from 1 species
CAAACCCAUGCGUUUUUUCCUUCCAUUAUAGAGGAAGUAUGCUCCAAGACUUCAGCUCCUAAUGGCUGGGCUGAGGAAGAUAGACAUAGGUAAUGCAGAUUCAGUUUGAAUUCCUGCACCUUCUUUUGAGGAUUAGCUGAAGCCUGGAUGCUGGGAAGUGGACUGGAAAUUAAGAGGACUGUACUCCUGGUCUGCUUCUUGGUCUCACUGCUCCUGAAGAAAUAAUUUAACUGUUCUGGUUAUGAAGACCGAGGUGGAAAAUUUCAAGCUGAGUCAGUUUGUCUCCUGGUCAGCAAGUCUGCAAGAGAGUGAGGAACAGCAACAUGUGACAGUCGGACACUUUGAGGGUUUUGAUGUAAGUGUGUGUCCUGGUGAUUCUAAACUGUAGAAAUAUCAGGUGCCUUGCUCCAUUUCUGCAAGUUUCUACUGUCUUGGCAAUGUUAGGCAAGAAGGAGGAAAUGAUCCCUCUGGCUGAGGCAGU